rnacentral:rRNA from 1 species
UACGUAGGGUGCAGGCGUUAAUCGGAAUUACUGGGCGUAAAGCGUGCGCAGGCGGUUUCUUAAGUCAGAUGUGAAAGCCCCGGGCUUAACCUGGGAACUGCGUUUGAAACUGGGAGACUUGAGUGUGGCAGAGGGGGGUGGAAUUCCACGUGUAGCAGUGAAAUGCGUAGAUAUGUGGAGGAACACCGAUGGCGAAGGCAGCCCCCUGGGUCAACACUGACGCUCAUGCACGAAAGCGUGGGGAGCAAACAGG